CUGGGAGCCACCAAUGAGUUCUCCGGGUGCCUCAUUAUCGCCUGGAUUCCCUCCUCCAGGACCAGAGAGGUGGUGACUGUGAGUGUGUGAGCAGCUGUUUAUUGGAAGCCGUCAAGGUCUCUAAGGACAGAGACAGAUGGCCCUUCGCGAGGGGAGUGCCGGGCCAGGCCUCCUGGCUCAAGCUUCGCGGGAAUGUCUGCCUUCUUUUCUGCUGAGGGGCCCUGACAGCUAUGCUCAAGGAACAGAGGCAACGGACCCCAGGGGCAUGGGCGCAGUCCCGGGACCCCUUCACCAAGAGGAACCCGGGUGUCUUCUCCCUGCGGCUGCCGCAGGUGACUCAAAACACCAUUCACGCUCAUCACGACUUUGAAAUAAUGCCAGCGGUCGGCGCCAUCGCUAGAUCUUGCUGUUGAAUCUCGUUAUUUAACGCAGUCACAAAAAGAAAGCGCAUAAGGGACCAGAUUACGAGUUUGCUCUUUAUUUUAAUGGCAUUUCAACAAA
rnacentral:lncRNA from 1 species